rnacentral:lncRNA from 1 species
CUGCUAAAUUUAGACAGCUCACUGCGCAGCCACUAGCUAAUUAUCUGUUUAGAUAGCACUUUAACACGUUGUUGAGACUCAGUUAAAUGUUAAACAACCAAAAUUUUAAUAUCACUAGCCAAUUUCAUUCUUCCAGGUUUUCCCUGAUGGCUCCACAUCUCCAAGAAAACAUCUUCAACUAAAGAUGUCAAAGCACAAGCUCACUUCCCACGGAAGGUAGCAAUUACUAUUAUCUACUUGACAGCUACAAGAACCUAGGCACAGAGGUUAAGUGCUCUGCAAAUACUACCAGCCAGUGGUGGUUUUCCUGCCAGAACCAAGUUCUUGCCUUCCAGUGGACACCAUUGAUCUCUCAAGAUGAUUCUUUAAGUUAAAAAGCACGAAUCACAAAGGGCCUCAAAACCACAUUAAAAUUUAAGAUUGAUCUGCUCUUCUGCUUCUGAAUGUGAGAGCCUAUACUGGAUCUCUGAAGAAAAUAAAGAUGAGAUGAGGUUCUGAUCCCUUGGACUUCAUGAAGUUACGUGACAGAAAGUAUGAUUGUCUAGCCGAUACUUGACUGUGUGAAACCUUCAUCUACUCCGGAAUCCUGAGGCACAGACUCAGAGGCCCUCUGACUCACGAUUAGGGUUGUCAGGGUGAUGCAACAGCAAGACCAUAGCCUUUGGUGUCGGAAUACCAAGUUUUGAAGCUCAGUUUCCCCACUCACUAAUUUUCAGUGAGCACAUACAUAAUUUGAAAUCUGAAAAUGGACAAUAAUGCCUACCUACUUCAAAAUUUGGUUUGAGAAUCAAGUGAAAUAUUAAUAUAUAUGUAAGCAUUUUAUGAACAAGGAAGCAAGUUAUAAAUGCAUUAUCUUGUUAAUUUAGUCAUUUCACUAGGGGUGGGUCCAAUGUGGGCCUCCUUUGAGGUAGACUGUAUUUCAUGA